rnacentral:lncRNA from 1 species
AUCUAACACUUGACUCGUCUAAUGCUUAGAUUUGGCCUCAGACUUACUUGCUUACACACGUAAUUUAUUAGUAUAACACAUGCAAGAAACACUACACAUAAUAUAUUUUGAUCUUCAAACAACAUUGAUUAAUUUCUCAUUCUUACUACUUUUAUUAAUUAGAUGCUCUCUCUUAAUCAUCUAAUUACAUUUUCACUUUAUACUAAAGACUUUCUCGUCUGGUAGAGUGUUUUGUAAUCAUCAAAACUUUAUUGGUUAUUGGGGCUAAACUACUUUAACAUCUUUGUGCCAUGAAAGCAAUCUCCCACCUUCUAAUUCCCCCAAGUUGUCCAAGUCAAUCAAAGUUGUAGGUGUCAAUGAAAUCGAAGAGGCGGUAAAAAAAGAGCCAAACAUUGUUUCUUCCUAGCCAACUUCAAGAAGUUGGGACCCUCCCUCAUAAUGGCAACAACCCCAACAUGUUAGAAUUUCUCCACGUGGUCCUUCCUUAAAAUCCCUCCACAUUAUUGUCAUUAUGAGUUCUUGGAUUUGAAAAAGACUAUCUAAGAGGAUCUUAAAUGGGUGAUCUCGAACAAUGGAAUGUAUCUUGGAUAUGAAGGAAGUGACAAAGUUUCUAAUGACAAUGAGAUAGGAUUCUUGGAAAUGACAUCGCGGUGGUGAUACUAUUAAGAAGUGAACUUUAAGUCUAAUUCAACCCCACAAAAUUGGCUUGUAAGGUGAGGUUUGCGUCCAUUUAUAUACUUUAAAUUGACCUUAGUCGAUGUGGGACUUCCAAUAUAUAAUGGUGGUAGGUAUUGCUUAAAAAUAUGAGUGGUGGUAUUUGUCACUAAAAAAAGAUUAGAAAGCAAGAAGAGAUUUAAACUCGCAAGUGAUCCAUUUUUAAUGUCAUUAACAUUUAUUUAAGAAAAUAAACUACACGGUCUCAAUUUAAAAAUUAUUAAGAAUCA